rnacentral:rRNA from 1 species
GAUGAACGCUAGCUACAGGCUUAACACAUGCAAGUCGAGGGGUAACGAGAGGAAAGCUUGCUUUCCUUGUCGACGACCGGCGCACGGGUGAGUAACGCGUAUCCAACCUGCCCCCAACCAGGGAAUAACCUUGCGAAAGUAAGACUAAUACCCUAUAAUUUUCUCAGAUGUCAUCUGACGAGGAAUAAAGAUUUAUCGGUUGUGGAUGGGGAUGCGCAUGAUUAGCUUGUUGGCGGGGUAACGGCCCACCAAGGCAACGAUCAGUAGGGGUUCUGAGAGGAAGGUCCCCCACAUUGGAACUUAGACACGGUCCAAACUCCUACGGGAGGCAGCUGUGAGGAAUAUUGGUCAAUGGGCGGAAGCCUGAACCAGCCAAGUAGCGUGCAGGAUGACGGCCCUAUGGGUUGUAAACUGCUUUUAUACAGGAAUAAAGUUAGCCACGUGUGGUUAUUUGUAGGUACUGUAUGAAUAAGGACCGGCUAAUUCCGUGCCAGCCGCCGCCGUAA